UUUUUUUCUCACAGACGGCGUCCGCGGCCACAAUCUGCCUGAUGAUAGCAAGAUUUCAGCAGCAACAACAACCGUCUCUCGCCAGGUAAGGCUACAUGAAGGCAAGGAGCAUGGACGAAGCUCCCCACGUAAGCCAUUUGCCAUCCUCUUAGAAGAUUAUUGGCUGAGAUUCCUUACUUCAAUUGGAUUUUUCAGGUACCCAUUUUGUCCUUGAAGGUAAGUAUCUAUUUUCUUUAGAGUAAUAAGCUGCUUUGAUUUGGAUCAGAUAGUUAAUUGUUGGGGAUAAUACGAUCAGUGUGCUAUUGUGCUAACUAUAUAAAUCAAUACGUACAUUUUACUU